AUGGAGGUCGACCACCAGCGGUUGUCGUUCCUCAUGGAAGCCACCUCCAUCACCGGCAACGACGACGGCUCACCUCCCGCCUCUGCAGGGGACGCGGCCGGCGACCACACUGGAGGCGGCGAGUUCAUGGCGACUCCUGUCGCGUGGCCGGCGCUGGGACUCCAGGGGAGCUCCAGUGGUUCAUGCAGUGCGCAGGAGUCGCCGUUCAUCGGGGUGCGGAAGCGGCCGUGGGGCAAGUACGCGGCGGAGAUCCGGGACUCCACCCGCAACGGCGCCCGUGUUUGGCUUGGCACGUUCGACACUCCGCAUGCCGCCGCGCUCGCCUACGACCAGGCCGCCUUCUCCGUGCGCGGCCCGGCCGCCGUGCUCAACUUCCCGGUCAAGCUUGUGCAGGAGUCGCUGCGCGCGCUCGGCAUCGGCGGGGCUGCCACCGCGGGGGACUCGCCUGCGCUCGCGCUGAAGCGCCGCCACUGCAUCCGGAAGAGAAAUCCCAAGAACAAGAGGAAGACGGGCACGACAACGACGGCAGCGGGGGCCGAUACUGCAUCGUCAUUGUCAACGUGCGUGCUGGAGCUGGAGGACCUUGGAGCCGACUACCUCGAGGAGCUGCUCACCUUGUCCGAUCUGUGA
rnacentral:rRNA from 1 species